UACGAAGGGGGCUAGCGUUGCUCGGAAUCACUGGGCGUAAAGGGUGCGUAGGCGGGUCUUUAAGUCAGGGGUGAAAUCCUGGAGCUCAACUCCAGAACUGCCUUUGAUACUGAAGAUCUUGAGUUCGGGAGAGGUGAGUGGAACUGCGAGUGUAGAGGUGAAAUUCGUAGAUAUUCGCAAGAACACCAGUGGCGAAGGCGGCUCACUGGCCCGAUACGGACGCUGAGGCACGAAAGCGUGGGGAGCAAACAGG
rnacentral:rRNA from 1 species